AACGAACGCUGGCGGCAUGCCUAACACAUGCAAGUCGAACGAGACCUUCGGGUCUAUUGGCGCACGGGUUCGUAACGCGUGGGAACCUGCCCUUAGGUUCGAAAUAACUCCCCGAAAGGGGUGCUAAUACCGGAUAAUGUCUUCUGACCAAAGAUUUAUCGCCUUUGAAUGUGCCCGCGUUGGAUUAGCUAGUUGGUAGGGUAAAAGCCUACCAAGGCGACGAUCCAUAGCUGGUCUGAGAGGAUGAUCAGCCACACUGGGACUGAGACACGGCCCAGACUCCUACGGGAGGCAGCAGUGGGGAAUAUUGGACCAUGGGCGAAAGCAUGAUCCAGCAAUGCCGCGUGAGUGAUGAAGGCCUUAGGGUUGUAAAGCUCUUUUAACCGGGAUGAUAAUGACAGUACCGGGAGAAUAAGCUCCGGCUAACUCCGUG
rnacentral:rRNA from 1 species